rnacentral:rRNA from 1 species
GCCAGACUCCUACGGGAGGCAGCAGUGGGGGAUAUUGCACAAUGGGGGAAACCCUGAUGCAGCGACGCCGCGUGGGCGAAGAAGUAUUUCGGUAUGUAAAGCCCUAUCAGCAGGGAAGAAGAAAUGACGGUACCUGAGUAAGAAGCACCGGCUAAAUACGUGCCAGCAGCCGCGGUAAUACGUAGGGGGCAAGCGUUAUCCGGAUUUACUGGGUGUAAAGGGGGCGCAGACGGCAGCGCAAGCCAGGAGUGAAAGCCCGGGGCCCAACCCCGGGACUGCUCUUGGAACUGCGCGGCUGGAGUGCAGGAGGGGCAGGCGGAAUUCCUGGUGUAGCGGUGAAAUGCGUAGAUAUCAGGAGGAACACCGGUGGCGAAGGCGGCCUGCUGGACUGCGACUGACGUUGAGGCCCGAAAGCGUGGGGAGCAAACAGGAUUAGAUACCCUGGUA